rnacentral:rRNA from 1 species
CAGUAGCCGCGGUAACACAGAGGGUGCGAGCGUUAAUCGGAUUUACUGGGCGUAAAGCGUGCGUAGGCGGCUUCUUAAGUCGGAUGUGAAAUCCCUGAGCUUAACUUAGGAAUUGCAUUCGAUACUGGGAAGCUAGAGUAUGGGAGAGAAUGGUAGAAUUCCAGGUGUAGCGGUGAAAUGCGUAGAGAUCUGGAGGAAUACCGAUGGCGAAGGCAGCCAUCUGGCCUAAUACUGACGCUGAGGUACGAAAGCAUGGGGAGCAAACAGGAUUAGAUACCCCAGUAGUCCCUGUCUCUUAUAA